rnacentral:lncRNA from 1 species
UACCAAAUAAACAAAAAUUAAGCUAAAAACAAAAAUUUCACUGCUCCGACCAAUAAUAUCCAGAGAUCUCCAUGAAUCGCAACAGAAUUUGAAAUUUAACACAAAAUACAGAAAAAACAACAAUUCAACCAGAAAUAACGUAAAACUCAUAAGAUCUGAGAGAGAUAUAAGAAUAUACCUUUACGAAGCUCGAUUAUGGACGAAACAUAAUCAAAUGGAUCCAUUAGCUGCAGAAGUUGACGAUAAGGUUUUUCAGAUUCAACAAUAACACAGCAGAGAUAAAAUUUAAAAAAAAAAAAUAUUGAAGAAAAAAAGGAGUCAAAAAGUGUACAUAACAGAAAAAAUACAAAGGAUCAAAUGGAUCCAUUAGCUGCAGAUGUUGACGAUAAGGUUUUUCAGAUUCAACAAUAACACAGCAGAGAUAAAAAUUUUAAAAAAAAAUAAUAUUGAAGAAAAAAAGGAGUCAAAAAGUGUACAUAACAGAAAAAAUACAAAGGCAAAAAGAUAUGAGAAUUCUUCUGCUUCGCUGUUGUUCUUCGACGUCUUAGCUGAUUAAAUAAGCUGGUAACGAAAAAUCCCUCUUAAAAGAAGAAGCAACUAUGUUCAAUGGUUACUUCCUAAAAAAAACGACAAGCAACCCUAGAAGCUGCC